rnacentral:rRNA from 1 species
AUUGAACGCUGGCGGCAUGCCUUACACAUGCAAGUCGAACGGCAGCACGGGGCAACCUGGUGGCGAGUGGCGAACGGGUGAGUAAUGCAUCGGAACGUGCCAUUGAGUGGGGGAUAACGUAGCGAAAGUUGCGCUAAUACCGCAUAUUCUGUGAGCAGGAAAGCAGGGGACCGCAAGGCCUUGCGCUCUUUGAGCGGCCGAUGUCAGAUUAGCUAGUUGGUGAGGUAACGGCUUACCAAGGCGACGAUCUGUAGCGGGUCUGAGAGGAUGAUCCGCCACACUGGAACUGAGACACGGUCCAGACUCCUACGGGAGGCAGCAGUGGGGAAUUUUGGACAAUGGGCGCAAGCCUGAUCCAGCCAUGCCGCGUGAGUGAAGAAGGCCUCGGUUGUAAG